AGGGGUUCAAAUUUGUGUGUAAUUGAUUCACAGACCUGAGCUAAUUUCCCUAAUUCCUCCUAUGAUUACUGCAGUAAGAUGUUCUUACUCCAGAGGAUGCUACACACCACAGGACUUUCAUCAGUCAAUAAGACGACUCCACAUCACACAACUUCAUAAAUCUCAAUCUUUUGAAAGAGCUCUAAGUAUUUUGAGCCUUAAAAGUACCUCCAGAGUGCACCAUAGAGCAGACAGCUCAGUAUUAAAGGGAUGAUGACACCUGAUCAUCCAUCUUCAUACCCCUCUCAUGAGGAGGAGGAGGAGCAUGUGUCUGUGUGGAUGCAUUUGUGAUUUGCAGGAGACCUGAAGUUUCUCCCAAAUGCUGCACUGCUGUCAUCAGUAGGAGGAGGCUGAACAGGAAGGUGGGGAAAGUUCUCCAGCUGUCAUGUUUGCAAAAUGGUGAAAUCAUGUCAAGGUGGGCAGGGUUUGGCUGUGCACAGUGGGUUAGGUCAGCUCUUUGAUGCUGUCCUGAGCCUGUGUACACUGGGUCAACAAUCUUCAAGUUCAGAGCUAGGGCUUUGUGUUAGGAUACAAAAUCUUAUCAGAUAUUAAAGUAUUUAAACCAAAAAUCUUUCUUACUUUUUCCCAUCCAGGACUUCAUUACCUGGAAAUCUCUCAUUCAUACCUUACUUAUAUUAAAAAUAAUUUUCUCUUCCUUGAAUAGUGACAGGUCAGUAUAAAUGUUCUAGUGAUGUUAUUCACUAGACAAUAAACAUCAGUCUAGCUGAGAUGAGCUAAUGUUGCUUAAAAAGCAACAAAUCUGAACAAGCCUGCCUAUCUGCAUUGCAACCAUCCAAUUUAAAUGUAUACAGGCCUCACUUUAAACACAUUUUUUCAAGUACUGUUUCAGUGCCUUUCUGGCUAUUUAAUUCAGAUGGAAUUUAUGAUGUAAUUUUUUAAAACUGUGUUUUCCUGCUUAACAUGUUUAUCACUGUGAAACUGAUUUUUGCCUUUGGAGAGGACCAGCAUGUGUGUUGUACAUUGACAUGAGACAUACAAAGCAACCCUGCGAAGGAACUGAAGUCUGCUUAAUGCAGCUCUCCACAUUGCAAGGCUGCCCAGUCUCAAUAGACCACAGUGAGAGAGGAUACCUUGAAAAUGUGUAUGAUGAGAUUCUAUUAAGUUCAAGGACAUUAGGAAGAAUGGGAGAUUUUAAAAGAGGAUGUUUUUCCUGAUGCUUAUUUCCAGCAUGAUGAGAAGAGUCUUUUCAGAAUUAAAUGCCCCCACUGUGACUCACUUGAAUACAGUGAAAGCUGAGAAGUGGAAGAAUGCAACCAAAUGAAAGAAGCUUAAAAACACAAGGCAAACACAAAUUAAUGCAAAAUCCAAUGUUUCUUGAUAAUAAAAGUCAAGGGAUGCGUUAGACUACUGAAAGCACCAAGUCAAGCCUUAGCAGAUGGAUUUUAUUUCAUUCCAGUGUUCAGUUGCACAGAGUGCUGUAGUCUUACAGCAGGUAGCCUGUUACAGAGAUGACAGGGAAAAAAAGCUUAGGUGGAGGAGUGGGGAUUCCU